ACCCUGAUCCAGCCAUGCCGCGUGCAGGAUGAAGGCCUUCGGGUUGUAAACUGCUUUUGUCAGGGACGAAAAGGACCGUGUUAAUACCAUGGUCUGCUGACGGUACCUGAAGAAUAAGCACCGGCUAACUACGUGCCAGCAGCCGCGGUAAUACGUAGGGUGCAAGCGUUAUCCGGAAUUAUUGGGCGUAAAGGGCUCGUAGGCGGUUCGUCGCGUCCGGUGUGAAAGUCCAUCGCUUAACGGUGGAUCCGCGCCGGGUACGGGCGGGCUUGAGUGCGGUAGGGGAGACUGGAAUUCCCGGUGUAACGGUGGAAUGUGUAGAUAUCGGGAAGAACACCAAUGGCGAAGGCAGGUCUCUGGGCCGUUACUGACGCUGAGGAGCGAAAGCGUGGGGAGCGAACAGGAUUAGAUACCCUGGUAGUCCACGCCGUAAACGGUGGAUGCUGGAUGUGGGGACCAUUCCACGGUCUCCGUGUCGGAGCCAACGCGUUAAGCAUCCCGCCUGGGGAGUACGGCCGCAAGGCUAAAACUCAAAGAAAUUGACGGGGGCCCGCACAAGCGGCGGAGCAUGCGGAUUAAUUCGAUGCAACGCGAAGAACCUUACCUGGGCUUGACAUGUUCCCGACAGCCGUAGAGAUACGGUCUCCCUUCGGGGCGGGUUCACAGGUGGUGCAUGGUCGUCGUCAGCUCGUGUCGUGAGAUGUUGGGUUAAGUCCCGCAA
rnacentral:rRNA from 1 species